rnacentral:tRNA from 1 species
UGGACUUGUAGCUCAGUUGGUUAGAGCAACAGACUCAUAAUCUGGAGGUCAUAGGUUCAAGCCCUAUCUGGUCCACCC